GUCAACUACCCCACCCUAUAGAGGGUGGAGCUUGUAAAAGCUCAAGUUGACUACCCUAAGUCCUUCGAGGACUACGUUAUAUAGGUCAUAACACCUACGGGCGUUUCUCCUAACUCGUAGCUCUGUU
rnacentral:sRNA from 1 species